rnacentral:rRNA from 1 species
AUUGAACGCUGGCGGCAGGCUUAACACAUGCAAGUCGAGCGGGGUGAUGGUGCUUGCACUAUCACUUAGCGGCGGACGGGUGAGUAAUGCUUAGGAAUCUGCCUAUUAGUGGGGGACAACAUCUCGAAAGGGAUGCUGAUACCGCAUACGUCCUACGGGAGAAAGCAGGGGAUCACUUGUGACCUUGCGCUAAUAGAUGAGCCUAAGUCGGAUUGGCUAGUUGGUGGGGUAAAGGCCUACCAAGGCGACGAUCUGUAGCGGGGCUGAGAGGAACGUCCGACACACUGGGACUGAGACACGGCCCAGACUCCUACGGGAGGUAGCAGUGGGGAAUAUUGGACAAUGGGGGGAACCCUGAUCCAGCCAUGCCGCGUGUGUGAAGAAGGCCUUAUGGUUGUAAAGCACUUUAAGCGAGGAGGAGGCUCUCUUGGUUAAUACCCAAGAUGAGUGGACGUUACUCGCAGAAUAAGCACCGGCUAACUCUGUGCCAGCCGCCGCAGUAA